CCUACGGGAGGCAGCAGUCGGGAAUAUUGGACAAUGGGGGAAACCCUGAUCCAGCCACGCCGAGUGAGUGAUGAAGGCCUUAGGGUUGUAAAACUCUGUCGUAAGGGAAGAUAAUGACGGUACCUUACAAGAAAGCACCGGCUAACUCCGUGCCAGCAGCCGCGGUAAUACGGAGGGUGCAAGCGUUACUCGGAAUUACUGGGCGUAAAGCGAGCGCAGGCGGCUUAUUAAGUCGGGUGUGAAAGCCCGGGGCUCAACCCCGGAACUGCAUCCGAAACUGGUGAGCUAGAGGAUGAGAGAGGAAAGUAGAAUUUCUGGUGUAGAGGUGAAAUUCGUUGAUAUCAGAAGGAAUACCCGUGGCGAAGGCGGCUUUCUGGCUCAUUUCUGACGCUGAGGCUCGAAAGUGUGGGUAGCAAACAGGAUUAGAUACCCUGGUAGUCCACACCGUAAACGAUGAAUGCUAGUCGACCGGUUCGUUUACCGACUGGGUGACGCAGUUAACGCAUUAAGCAUUCCGCCUGGGGAGUACGGUCGCAAGAUUAAAACUCAAAGGAAUUGACGG
rnacentral:rRNA from 1 species